UACAGAGGUCUCAAGCGUUGUUCGGAUUCAUUGGGCGUAAAGGGUGCGUAGGCGGCGCGGUAAGUCGGGUGUGAAAUCUCGGAGCUUAACUCCGAAACUGCAUUCGAUACUGCCGUGCUUGAGGACUGGAGAGGAGACUGGAAUUUACGGUGUAGCGGUGAAAUGCGUAGAUAUCGUAAGGAAGACCAGUGGCGAAGGCGGGUCUCUGGACAGUUCCUGACGCUGAUGCGCGAAAGCCCAGGGGAGCAAACAGG
rnacentral:rRNA from 1 species